UUCUUCCACCUUCUCCUUUCGCAUUGAACCCUAGUCUGCUGGCCUCCACUCACUCUCACGCUCUCGUACUCUCACUCUCAUUCUCAUAGACAUUCAAAUUUUCUCAGCCCCGCCACCUCCAACCUCGCUCCCUUCCCUCGCCGCCGCUCCUUCGCCGUCCACCCCCACAGCACCCUCUCCGAUGUCUUCACCCCGCAGCACCCUCUCCAAUCUCUUCACCCCGCAGCACCCUCUCCGAUCUUGCACCAAAUAAAGAUUUCUCAAAACUAAAAAGACUCUUCUCUUUUUUCUCUCUUUCACCUCUUCCAUGCCGUGACUAGUUAGAUAGUUCCAACCUCCAACUUCCAAACAACGAGCCAUCUUGUUAGUUUCAUGGAACCGCAUUCGAUUCAGCGAAUCAUCGUGUUCGUAACCAUAACCAUCUUCUCCCUCUCACUCCUUGCCGUUUUGACAGUGUUGUUAAUCGCGUUUGUAGGUUUUGGUAGUGGUGGGACUCUUACCGUAGCCAUGGCGGUGUCCGUGACGCGUGGUUCGGAGAAAGGAACCAUGGCUAGUUCGCAUCGCAAACUCAACAUGGAGGCAAUUCAUUAACAUAGACAUAACAUUUUUUUUGUUUUUUUUAAUUGUGUGGCUCCUGUUUGUUUUGUGUUGAUGCUGCGAUGAAAUUUUUGCAGGCAAGAAAAUAUGCCACUUAGAUUGUUGCAAAUUUACAGAGGCAACAGGUUCAGUCCAAGCUCAUCGCCUCUGAUUACUUGGAUACUAAUUUGGAUCUUAUGGAUGUCUUGGUAUUUGGGUCAUUUUGGUCAUGGCUUUAUAUCAAAUAUGUUCUGGACUCACUACGAAGAAGUUUUUUGACUACAUUCAGCUUCCAAAUUUUGACAUAGUUGCAGAUGCCGCAGCAACUUUUAAGGAGCUAAUGACAAGGCAUAAAUCUACUGUAGCUGAUUUCCUUAGCAAUUAUUAUGAAUGGGUAGUUUUGACACUUGUCUAUUGAGAUGUCACUUUUUGUCAUAUUCUUAGCAUGGGUGUUAUGCUUGAUUUGUGAAGGAGAAAAAAAGUUUUUUUUUUCUUUUCAUGAUGAAAGUUAAUGACUUGGCUUGUGAGUGUGUCAGCUACUAGGUAUUGUGUUCAAGGAUGUAAAAUAUUAAAUAUCACUCAAAGCUUUCUGAACAAUGCGGUCAUUAAUUGUUGAUUUCCUGCUUUUUGGUUUGGUUACUGGAACAUGAUGAAUUGUUCUUAUGCUAGGUAUAGUGUUUCAUUUUUAAAAGCCAUGUAUGAGUCUUAGUCAAGACUGCAUUCUAAAUUUGUAAUAGAAAGCAUAUUUUCUAAGAUGUUUUGUAUGUAAUCCUGUUCUGCUCAUGCAAUUUUCUUUCUCUGUCUGUCUGGUCUUUGUUCCUUAACAUGAUAUGUAUAGAUUCCAUAGCAUUUUAUAGUAAACUAAUUCAUUGUCACAUUAUAUUUAUGUGAUGAUUUUUAUCAUCCAUCAAC